AGCCACAUACUGUGCCUGGAAAGACAGAGAGUGUGAAAGGAAUCCAGACUGGAGGAACAAACAGCAGGAGAUUCCUAUCUGAGCAUCCAAAGGGGCUGGUAAUCGCACUGUAUGACUGAAUGUGCUGGAUUCACCUGAAGUGCAUCCGAAGAGGAUUUCUAAAGGACAAGUAAACGUUGAAUCACCAUCCAAUGACUUCAGCACACCAGCCUGAGGUUAUCUUAAGAGGGUUUGUCCACUGCCAUCUUAUCCUGGCUUCCCCUGUACUAUGUGUGAUUAUGCAGAGGGCCAAAGACUGUACCACUUAGAGGCCCUGCAUAGACCUGCCAGAAGAGGACCACAUUUAUAGGAAAGUAUCUUCCUUGUUCAAUGGGGUUGUCAUACCCUUAUGACUGAUAGCUUGAAGGGACCAGUUGGAUAUCAGCUGUGGUUUUUACCCAAACAGAUGCCAAUAAGCAAGAGUGGUCAAGAAUUUGCAUCAUUAUAUAGUAUCUCAGAGAUGAUUUGUAUACACAGUGGUGUCUGGCACAUGUUAUUUAUUUAAAGGUCCUAGGCAAUGAGAAUAGUAUAUUGGCAAAAGUUUGCAAUAUUAUCAACAGAUCUAUAAAAAGUGUGCAGCUUUUUUACUUGCUGUUUUUGAAAGUGAAGUUCCUGGAAUGGAUCACAGUAUUCUAAAUGGGAUCUGCAGUCAUUUGAGAGCCACUGAGUGAAAUUAAAUGUGCAAUAUACACCUGUGCUCAGCAUCAGCUAAAUAAAUAGAGAUUGUGCUGAAAUGCGCGCAGCCAGAUUUUCAUUGAAAUAAAAAAUAUAUUUUCA